rnacentral:piRNA from 2 species
UAAUAGUCAAGAUAGUUAAGAGGG